GGGAGGCUGAGGUGGGUGGAUCACUUGAGCUCAGGAGUUCGAGACCAGCCUGGGCAACACGGUGAAGCCCCAUCUCUACAUAAAAUACAGACAUGAGCCACGGAUAAUGGCAUGGGCCUGUAGUCCAAGCUACUCGGGAGGCUGAGAUAGGAGGAUGACUUGAGCCUGGUGUUAGGUUUUUUAAAGGGAAGGCGAGGGUUAAAGAAAGAGAGGGCGGCUCUACAGCAACACAGGUAUGUUGCAGAAACCUACAGAGGUGGGGGACCAGCUUGAUGCCAGAGUGCACCGCCGCUGACAGGCUGGGCACUUACAGCCUGGACGGGAGGGGCUGGGCAGUAGGGCUUGCUGCCGGGAAGAUGUUGAGAGACGUUCCCAUGGUGAGGCAGUUGGGUCCUUGUUCCCGGCAGAAUCUGAUCGGGAUGUUCCUUCAGUUGGGCCUUGGCCCAACAAGGUGUGGUCAGGAUGAUCCUUCACCCCAGCAAGGUGUGGUCCGGAUGUUCCCGGGCCGUGUGGUUGGUCAGGUGGUUGGGAUGUUCCCAGACCGUGUGGUCAGGUGGUAGGGAUGUUCCUGGGCCAUGUGGUCAGGUGGUCAGGACGGUCCCGGGCCGUGUGGUCAGGUGGUCAGGAUGUUCCCGGCCGUGUGGUCAGGAUGUUCCCAUGCCAUGUGAUCAGGUGGUCAGGAUGUUCCCGGCCGUGUGGUCAGGUGUUCGGGAUGUUCCUGGGCCGUGUGGUCAGGAUGUUCCCAUGCCAUGUGAUCAGGUGGUCAGGAUGUUCCCGGCCGUGUGGUCAGGUGUUCGGGAUGUUCCUGGGCCGUGUGGUCAGGAUGUUCCCAUGCCAUGUGAUCAGGUGGUCAGGAUGUUCCUGGCCGUGUGGUCAGGAUGUUCCCGGCCGUGUGGUCAGGUGGUCAGGAUGUUCCCAUGCCAUGUGAUCAGGUGGUCAGGAUGUUCCUGGCCGUGUGGUCAGGAUGUUCCCGGCCGUGUGGUCAGGAUGUUCCCGGCCGUGUGGUCAGGUGGUCAGGAUGUUCCCGGCCGUGUGGUCAGGAUGUUGGGCAGGAUCUUGGGCAGGCCGAAGCCCUGUGGAAUGUUUCACUUCAGCCUGGGUCUGGAAAAUGGCAGGGGGCUUACAAAAUGGUGCAGUUUGGAUUAACACCUGGGAGCCAGAGGCUGCAGUGAGCUGAUACUGCACCACUGCACUCCAGUCUGGGCAAUGGAGCCAGAGUUUGUCUCAAAUAAAAAGAAAAAAAAAAAACGGAAAGAAAGAAAGAAAAUGUUAAACCCUCAUAGUACUCAAAUCAAAGAAACUAAAUCAACAAUGCAACACCAUCCUGGCUACCAAACUGGUAAGGCUUUUAAAAAAAUUGUAAGACUCGGGCUGGGCGUGGUGGCUUAU